rnacentral:rRNA from 1 species
UAACGGGGGGAGCAAGCGGUUGUUCGGAUUACUGGGCGGUAAAGGGCGCGGUAGGCGGAGCGCAACAAGUCGACUUGUGAAAUCGUCCGGGCUUAACUCGGAGCGGUCAAGUCGAUACUGUCGUGCUAGAGUGCGGAAGGGGCUACUGGAAUUCUCGGUGUAGCGGUGAAAUGCGUAGAUAUCGAGAGGAACACCUGCGGCGAAGGCGGGUAGCUGGGCCGACACUGACGCUGAUGCGCGAAAGCCAGGGGAGGCGAACGGG